UUGACGGUUGAAAGGGGAGCGGGGGAGGGAGACGACCGAGGGAAAAGGCGGGAAAAGGUCAAGGAAAAGAGCGGAGGAGAACCAGGACUGUUUUCUUUCUCCCUCUCACUAACAUUUGUACUCAGUAUUGUCAUUCAAAAACACAUUUAUUCAAUAUGUGGUAAAUGCAGACAAUCAUUCACACUUCUGAAGGGCACAGCAGCACAAAAGGCAAAUUUACAAGGAGCCACGUUUGCAAAGAAAGCCCAUAAUAUAUAAAAAAGUAUUUUAAUCGCAAAGAAGCAAAAGAUUAUUUUAAUCCCUCACUCUUCACCCUGGCAGGUUUGCCUAAGCCUAUCAUCUUCCCUUGUGUUCUUCUAAUUUACCACUUCAACUAAGGCAAUAUUUUCCUCAAGAGUCAUCUUCCUGCAACACCUUAUAUUCGUAAUAUUAUCUUAGACUUAUCUUUAAAAAAAAAAAAUUUAACCAGGAAAUAAUCCUUGUUAGAAAUGUAGACAUUUUUGAGAGAUUAUUACACCCAAACACUACACGAAUGGUUAUUCAUUUGUUUCCCAAACAUGUCAAGCUAAUACUUUAAAAGCCAAAACACUUGUUGCUCUCCAAAAUAUUUAUAUAGCCCUUUAACAAAAAAUUGUUUUCAAAGUGGUUUGCAUAGCAAAACAUAUGAGGAAGAAAAGGCCAACUGACACUGUAGAACAUUGCAAUUGACAACAGUAAUUGACAAAUUUUUAAUAAAUGUGACCAUAGUAAAAGUCCUCUUAAACCAGAUUUCUUGUGAUAUAUGCCAGGAUAUAACCAAAUACCAUGUGUACAUGCUAAAUUAGCCACUGCAUUAACAAAUGAAUUAUGUAAAACUAGGACUGCAAUAUUUAGUUGAUUAACAGAUUAGAUCAAGUUAUAAAACAUCUGUUGACACAUUGAAGAGGUAGACUUUUUUUUUAAAAACCUAGUAAUUAUAUUUAAUAUAGGUACAAAUUAAGGAGUGAGACACAGCAACUUAGAAGAUCAUUUCCUCUCAUGCAAAGGAAGUAUCUCCUGUGACAUGCACCCCAUCUAAAACCAAAUCAUGGCUUUUUCUUUCGCAUUUCUAUGCGGAUUUAAUUAAAGCUGCCAUUAUUAAGAUUUUUUAAUUGAGUGACAGCCCUAAUUGAAAUAUUCCUUUUUUUAAAAAGCAUGACUGAGCAAUUGCAUAACACAUCUACCUAUAGUGCUUAUGUGUUCAAAAAUAGCUGUGUGAUAAGGGUGGUAGAAGUGUGUGUGUGUGUGUGUGUGUGUGUGUGUGUGUGUGCGUGCAUACACACACUCUCAAUGCAAGUGAGGAAUUAUAAAUAAUAAUAAAUUAUAAGCCACCACAGUGUAGUGAUUAGAGUGUUGGACUAGGACCGGGAAGACCGAAGUUCAAAUCAUGAAACUCACUGGGUGACUCUGGGCCAGUCAUGUAUCUCUCAGCCUAACCUACCUCACAGGGUUGUUGUGAGGAUAAAAAUAAGCAUAUAUACUGCUCUGAGCUCCUCAGAGGAAGAGCGGGAUAUAAAUGUAAAAAUUAUAUAUAUAUAAAUAGGGUUUCACUCAAUGCAGAAGCCUUGGAUGGUAUCUCUUCUUACUGAUUAAUCCCCUUGCUACAAAACAGUAUCCACAAUAUUAUUAUUAUUAUUAUUAUUACAUUUAUAUCCCGCUCUUCCUCCAAGGAGCCCAGAGCGGUGUACUACAUACUUGAGUUUCUCUUUCACAACAACCCUGUCAAGUAGGCUAGGCUGAGAGAGAAGUGACCGGCCCAGAGUAUUAUGGCUGAAUGGGGAUUUGAACUCGGGUCUCCCUGGUCCUAGUCCAGCACUCUAACCACUACACCACGCUGGCUCUCAUAAUCACUAACAUGUCAAUCACAAUCAUGUCAUAAUCACUCCACAUAAGACAGUCCCUAAGGGCACAGACAUUGUCCAAACAAAGGCAUAAAAAGAGACUUUGAGCUCAAAACCCAAAGUAUAGGUCAAUGUUAACAAAUUUCCCACAGGCACAGAUCUUCUUGUGUAUGAAUGCACGUAAACACAAAGGCACUCUUCUAUACUCUUAAGUAUAGCAGUCAUACUUUGCCACUCCUUCAAUGCACAGCAUUUGAAAUCAGCUCUGAAAGUAUACAGAUCAGUGGCACCAAGAGAUGUGAAUUCUUUUGCUUAAAUUGGGGUGGGUGGGGAAGCCUGCCCAGAUAAAACAGCUAUCAAAUUAAAGCAAGUUUCAUCUUGUCUGCUCUGUGCAACUCCCACAUUGCUUCUUCAAGCAGUCAGGUACUCUUGUUGCUGAAGGGCCUUGUGAAGAAGAUUUCUUCAGGAGUCCUUUCAACAGGGCUGUCUUCCUGAUUCCUCUCCGUGAAAACAAGAAUGGGUGUUAUUCGAGGACAAUGACUUGUGCACGUUAACUCUUUUAACAGCUGACUGCUCUAUAAAAACAGAAGUAGUGAGAGCACAAAAUGAAGGAAGUUGACAGACGUGAAGUGUUAGGAUGAUGGAGAAUAGCAAGGACUCCUUUUGACAGAAAUCUGAGAAUCGGAGUUUUCAUAAACAAGAAGACCUCCCUGCAAAUAAUUCAGAAUCUCCUCCCUUCAUCCAAAACCUAAAAGAGGAGGAGAGGAAGAAGUGCUGAAUUGGCAAAGCUCUCCUAUGUGAGAAUUAUAAACCUAAGUCAUGUUUAGUUCCUGCAUUUUACCCACUGUACCAAUUAGCCUGAGUUAUUUGUUAACCAACUUACAUGAGUCCUAUGAAUUGCAUUUUUACAUGAGUCCUAUGAAUUGCAUGAAUUCCUUAUUGCCCCCCCCCACCAGAGAAGAGUUACCUCUGUUCAGUGGCUUAAUAUGGUUUUUUUUUCCCUUGGGGGGGGCGGUUAACUCUGAAUCCAUCAGUCAAAUCUUGCCAGUUUCAGAGAGUAACAUACUGAGGCAGCUCUACCAUCAUCAUCAUCAUCAUCAUCAUCAUCAUCAUCAUUUAUUUGAUUUCUAUACCACCCUUCCAAAAAUGGCUCAGGGCUGUUUACACAGAGAAAUAACAAAUAAAUAAAUAAGAUGGCUUCAUUAGAGUGAAGUCGCUGCCUCAAAUGGCAGAUUUUGAGCGCCAUUAGGGGGCAGCAUACUGUAAACAGUCGUCAUUUUAGUUUGUGGUUAUAUAUUUACCAUAAAGGUAAAUUUUGGCUUUCUGUCUUGGCCAAGGCUUUUCCAUCCCAGAAUCUCAUGGUGACUUCCUUUCUCACAAGCCUGUCAUUUCCUAUAUUCUGUCUAUCAAAUCCUACCAGCACUCAUCCGCAGCUCUUUUCUUUUCCUCCUUUCUAAACAUAGUAACUUGUCACAAAUUGUUACAAGAGCAAAGUAUUGUAUAUAAUCCCAACAGCUCUGUUUCGAACACUGUGCAUCCAAGUCCGUCUGCUAUACCUAGCAAAGUCAUAGGCAGUCUCUGAAUAUUCAUCAGUUUUGGUGUUUGUAUUUGUAUUUAGCACUUAAACAAUCAAUCAAUUUGUAUACAGUCUUAUUGUAUAGUUCUCGGCAGAAAAUUCUUCCUCUCUUGGAUGGGAAAGGAAAAACCACCAAGGACAGUGUUCAUCUGCAGCACAAUAAUGCUUAAUAUUGGCACAAUGCAAUUAAUAAGUGCACAAAGAGCUUUGUGAGGCCACUGGAGUAAAUUACUGCUGUUAUGGAGACCAUAAAUGCAAAAGCACCAUGAAUAAUCUUUAGAACACUCCUUUAAAGUAGGCUGAUAUAUUACGAUCCUCAUAUAAGAGUGUAGACAGAAUGAGAGAUACAGCUUGCCUAAGGCCACAUAGAGAGUUCCUGGCAGAGCUGACAUCUGAAGCAAGCAAGAAAUUUCCAAAAAAGAUUUUAAUAUAAUAAGUACACUGCAGUUACGGACAUAAUUCACCUUUGUAGGGUUUGUUUGUUUUUAAGGUAUAUUGUCUUCCAUAUUAACUUUUAAUCCUUUCUGCAUGCUGGAUGCAGGCAGUAGCAUGUUAUUUAAACAUUCUUCCUGAUUGAAUGUUUCAAAAAAAAAAAAAAAAACUAAAAGAGAAAAAACACAUCUUUGUUCUAAACUGGGAUUGUGUCCAAAGACAUUGAACUGAACUGUGCAGACAUGAAAAGUAGGAGUUGGAUCCUGAAUUAAAAUUAGACUGAGUGGGAGAGAAACCCUUUGGCUUUCAUUAGUUUCAUGAACCAGGAAUUUGUUUUUUCAGUGAAGGGAGCCACCCAUCGCUGAAGUGCUGUUUUACUGAACUAGACUUCUAAUAGAGAAUACUGCAGUGCAUUCUCCACACUGCAACAUAAUAUCCUCCCAAGAACAAAUACAGGAAUAAAAAUGAAGCAUUCAGCCUGAUCCUAUGCAUAUUUGCUCGGAAGCAAGUCACAGCAAGUUCUGCAUGGCUUACUCCGUGAUCAGAGUACAUUGGAGUUUGCCCCUUAAGAAUAAUAGUUGAAUUGUUAACAAACUUUGUUUCAGCAAGUAACAACAUUUGGCUUGUGAAGUUAAAUGUCAGCUUUAAAAUGGCUUUCCAUUGUACAAGAAGUGUUUUGCAACAUAUAUGAAAACAAACAGUUUUAGCUAAAUUAUUAUUUCUUAAGGCCUACUAAACAACGCAAAUACAUCACUAAUGUGUCGCUAAUUGUUUUUCCUGCUCAUAAUCCUGUCCUUCAGUUUCCCCUCCCAAUUUCCUUAACAUUCAAAAGGAAACAUUUGUGUAUAUAGAUUCUGUAUAAGAAAGUGGGGGUUGAUAUUCAGAUGUGUAAAUACUGUGCUCAUAUUUCAGCAGUAGUGACUGGAACUAAUCUGGCAUUCAAACACAACAGUGCUUCUCCUUUUAUUCCCACACCACUUGCACUCUAGCCUUCCUUCUUUUAGCCAUGUUGCUCCCCUAUUCCUUCUCUAUCCAAGUCAACUAUUUAUUAAAGGCACAAUCCUAACCACAAUUAUUAGGGAGUAAGUCCCACUGACUGAAGCCAUUCUGACAAAGCAAACCUAGGAUCAUGCUGUGUGUUUGUAGUCCAUGCCAACGUAGAUGUACCAGCCAUUAGAUUCAGAGGACCUUACCUCUGAGUAAAUAUGCAUAGGCUUGCAUUGCACACCCCUUUUCAAAACCCACUUUGACCACAAGCCCUUCUAGAUAACUGUAGCUUCAUCGAAUGUAGAGCGUAUUUUUUUUAGCAUGUUGUUAAAGUAUUACUACAUCUUGUCUGCUAUCAGAUAACUUUCUCCUACUUUUAUCCUGCUGUCUCCCGUCUGCCUUUCUGCCUCAGACUGUAUGACUCCUAGACAGGGACAGUAUUAGUUCUGUGAUCGGUACACUGUGUAGCACACUGUUAAUUUUAAUAAAUGCUAAACAGGAAUACCUAGUUGUGAUGGUUAUUUCUGUUCUGGGAUGUUCAGAUUUCAGAAACAUCUCCAAGUAGGACUAUAAAUCUGCCCUGCAGCCUUUGGAAGGUGCAAAUCUGCAACAGCGAUAGAAUGACUGCAACUGGAAGCAUUAUUUGGGGGGCAGGAAGGGAGUCUUGUCUUGCAAAAUGUAGAACCAAACUGUACAGGAGAUGCUACCUGUGUAUGCAUGUUUAUCCUAGAGAUUAUUGUGCCUCCAUCAAAUCACUGCUGGUAUUCUCCCAGAUUAGGGAAACACCUAUAUUGGGCAGCGGCAGUAUAGGAAGAUGCUGAAAAGCAUCAUCUCAUAGUGCGCAGGAGAUGGCAAUGGUAAACCCCUCCUGUAUUCUACCAAAGAGAAUCACAUGACUCUGUGGCCGCCAAGAUUCGACAUGACCAGGGGCAUAGCUGCAAUUGAGCAAAAAGGUUCCAAGAACAUGGGCCCCCAGCUCCUGAGGGCCCUCCAGUUCCCUCCCUCCUAAUUGUCUUCAUUAUCUCCCUCACUCUGGGGACCGCCAGAGAGAGGGAUGAACACGGCCCCCUCCCCCCCAGCUAUGCCACUGGACACGACAGCACAACUUUCCUUCAUUUGCAGCUACAUCUCUGCACAGGGACAGAGACUUCGACCGACUAGCUGCAGUCCCUGUUUUCUGGUACUUCCAGUUGAUAUGCUGGUCCUUGCUUUUACCUUGAAGGAAGGGGUUGAUAGGUGGGGGCCUCGCUCUUGUUCAACCACAACUCCCAUCUUCUUCAGUCACAAGGGCUAAAGGGCUGGGGGAUGAUGUGUGUUAUAAUCCAACACCUUCUGUGGGGUCAGCUUUGAGGAGCUGUGCCUCAGGGGAUGCCUUGUUAAAGUCUUGUAAAGGGGGUAAGUUGCUAAAAUUGUCUUCCUUGAGGGUUUGCAUCCCUCCCCGGGGUUUCUCUAGAUGUUAAAUCACUGGAGAGUGGGUGAAUGCUUCUAGUCUCUAACACACAUGCAAAUAAACAUGUGCACAUGAACACUAAGACCUCAUAGAGCAUCUGGCCAGCUGUUCCAUAGACAUACACACAGCAAAUAUGAAGGGAUGUUUUGAACUGGCAGUUUUAACGCAAGGGGAAAGUGUGCUUUUGAACUAGGACCAGGCAAGGUGAAGACCAACUUCUGUGACUGGAUAACCAAAGGCCUUUCUCCCUUCAUGUAGCAGCAGCAGGUUGAACAGUAGAAAGCUUUCCUCUUUGUCCCAGCACUCCGAAGCCCUGGCUUGAACUACUUGUUAAGAGUGCUGGCUUCUGUCCCCAGCUCACCCUGUUGAAUAUCUGCCCACCCGCCCGCAGUAUUUUUAACCCGUGGGUUCUUGAGGACACAAACAGCAACUGAACCCACAAGAAUGCAAGACUAUAAAACAGAUCCAUCCGUGAAGGAUCUCGUUUCUACAAUGAAGCAUCCAGACUGUCGAUUGCUCUCUCCUCGCUAAGGACUUCUUACCUUCUGCUCCAAUCUAGAAUCAUGGAACCAGUGAGGGCAAGAGAUAAGAUGCAGGUUCAGAAUAAGCAAGAUGACUAGAACUUCGCUUCCCAUAAAAGGCUGCACCCGGCCACACCUGAUCCAUCAGGGCAAGCUCUUAUGUCGCCAAGUUUUGUUGGACUGCUAGCAAUAUCCGACAACAAACAUUAGCUCCGCACAAUUAAAGAGGCUCGAAUUUACUCUGCAUAGGUGGACAUCGUCGGAUGCAGUAUCAAUUGUGCUACUGUGUUUUGCUUAGUUACUUUGUUUUUUCCGACUUGUAUUGAUUGUUUGCUGGUCUGCGGCUAUAUCAACAAAGAUUUUUUUUUUUAAGAGAUAAGCUCUUAUGUUAUAGUUCAUUAAAAGAAAUACACUCUCUUUA